rnacentral:pre_miRNA from 1 species
UAUAGAAUUAGAAAUAGCGUCAGAGACAAAGUCAAAGUUUCUAAUUCAAUCUUUGACUUUGUCUCUGACGCUAUUUCUAAUUCAAUCUUUG